UGGGGAAUAUUGGACAAUGGGGGAAACCCUGAUCCAGCGAUGCCGCGUGUGUGAAGAAGGCCUGCGGGUUGUAAAGCACUUUCAGUUGGGAAGAUAGUUUGUAGGGGAAUAUCCUGCAGAUGAGACGUUACUAACAAAAGAGGCACCGGCUAACUCUGUGCCAGCAGCCGCGGUAAUACAGAGGGUGCGAGCGUUAAUCGGAAUUACUGGGCGUAAAGCGUGCGCAGGCGGUUUGGUAAGACAGAUGUGAAAUCCCCGGGCUUAACCUGGGAACUGCGUUUGUGACUGCCAGACUAGAGUGUAGCAGAGGGGGGUAGAAUUCCACGUGUAGCAGUGAAAUGCGUAGAUAUGUGGAGGAAUACCGAUGGCGAAGGCAGCCCCCUGGGCUAACACUGACGCUCACACACGAAAGCUGGGGUAGCGAAGAGGAUUAGAUACCCACGUAGUCCCUGAGCGGGCUGGCAAGGCGCAU
rnacentral:rRNA from 1 species